GAGGGGUAUGGCAGCAAUGCCAGAGACCGGCGCACGGGUGCGUAACGCGUAUGCAAUCUGCCUUUCACAGAGGGAUAGCCCAGAGAAAUUUGGAUUAAUACCUCAUAGCAUAAUGAGUUGGCAUCAACACAUUAUUAAAGUCACAACGGUGAAAGAUGAGCAUGCGUCCCAUUAGCUAGUUGGUAAGGUAACGGCUUACCAAGGCGACGAUGGGUAGGGGUCCUGAGAGGGAGAUCCCCCACACUGGUACUGAGACACGGACCAGACUCCUACGGGAGGCAGCAGUGAGGAAUAUUGGUCAAUGGGCGCAAGCCUGAACCAGCCAUGCCGCGUGCAGGAUGACGGUCCUAUGGAUUGUAAACUGCUUUUGUACGGGAAGAAACAGCGAUUCGUGAAUCGCCUUGACGGUACCGUAAGAAUAAGGAUCGGCUAACUCCGUGCCAGCAGCCGCGGUAAUACGGAGGAUCCAAGCGUUAUCCGGAAUCAUUGGGUUUAAAGGGUCCGUAGGCGGUUUUGUAAGUCAGUGGUGAAAGCCCAUCGCUCAACGGUGGAACGGCCAUUGAUACUGCAAGACUUGAAUUAUUAGGAAGUAACUAGAAUAUGUAGUGUAGCGGUGAAAUGCUUAGAGACUACAUGGAAUACCAAUUGCGAAGGCAGGUUACUACUAAUGGAUUGACGCUGAUGGACGAAAGCGUGGGUAGCGAACAGGAUUAGAUACCCUGGUAGUCCACGCCGUAAACGAUGGAUACUAGCUGUUGGGAGCGAUCU
rnacentral:rRNA from 1 species